AUGAGAGGUGUGCAAUACACAGAAACAUAUCUGUUUUCUUGGUAUCAGCUAGCAAUUCCCGAUCCAGCCUUGUCUAGCCCCUCACGCUAUCUCGCCAUCGUCUUGCACCAUGGCAGGCACCAACUCCUCCCUCACCUCGCCUUCCCUACCCGCCUCCCUGAACUCCACCUCCGGUGCCCUCGUCACCGCUGCUACGCCGGCCACCUCCUCGGCGGUGCAAGUCACCAGCGUGCGCACCCACGUACCCGCCGUACUCGAUCUUCAGACUUCCAACUUCACCAAGUGGCGGAUGCUCGUCCGUGUUCUUCUCGGCAAGUACGACUUGCUCCUCACGUCAACACCGUAACCGCCGCGGCGGACCACAUGGACGACUGGACUCGCGACGACUACGUCGUCCGUUCGUGGCUCUACGGGUCCAUCUCCGAUGAGAUCCUCGACAUCAUCAUGGCGGAGGACCAGACGGCUCAGGAGGCAUGGGAGUAA
rnacentral:rRNA from 1 species